CUGGGAGGACCAUCUCCUAAGGCUAAAUACUCUCUAGUGACCGAUAGUGAACCAGUACCGUGAGGGAAAGGUGAAAAGCACCCCGGAAGGGGAGUGAAAUAGAACCUGAAACCGUGUGCUUACAAGUAGUCAGAGCCCGUUAAUGGGUGAUGGCGUGCCUUUUGUAGAAUGAACCGGCGAGUUACGAUUUGAUGCAAGGUUAAGCAGUAAAUGUGGAGCCGUAGCGAAAGCGAGUCUGAAUAGGGCGUUUAGUAUUUGGUCGUAGACCCGAAACCAGGUGAUCUACCCUUGGUCAGGUUGAAGUUCAGGUAACACUGAAUGGAGGACCGAACCGACUUACGUUGAAAAGUGAGCGGAUGAACUGAGGGUAGCGGAGAAAUUCCAAUCGAACCUGGAGAUAGCUGGUUCUCUCCGAAAUAGCUUUAGGGCUAGCCUCAAGUGAUGAUUAUU
rnacentral:rRNA from 1 species